rnacentral:rRNA from 1 species
CGGACGGGUGAGUAAUGUAUGGGGAUCUGCCUGAUGGCGGGGGAUAACUACUGGAAACGGUAGCUAAUACCGCAUAAUGUCUACGGGCCAAAGCGGGGGACCUCCGGGCCUCGCGCCAUCAGAUGAACCCAUAUGGGAUUAGCUUGUAGGUAAGGUAACGGCUUACCUAGGCGACGAUCCCUAGCUGGUCUGAGAGGAUGAUCAGCCACACUGGGACUGAGACACGGCCCAG